GUGCCAGCAGCCGCGGUAAUACAGAGGGUGCGAGCGUUGUCCGGAAUCACUGGGCGUAAAGGGCGCGUAGGUGGCGACCCAAGUCUGUGGUGAAAGCUCGACGCUCAACGUCGAGUCGGCCAUAGAUACUGGGUUGCUUGAGCACUGUAGAGGCAGAUGGAAUUCCGGGUGUAGCGGUGGAAUGCGUAGAGAUCCGGAAGAACACCGGUGGCGAAGGCGGUCUGCUGGGCAGUUGCUGACACUGAGGCGCGACAGCGUGGGGAGCAAACAGGAUUAGAUACCCUGGUAGUCC
rnacentral:rRNA from 1 species